rnacentral:rRNA from 1 species
AUUGAACGCUGGCGGCAGGCUUAACACAUGCAAGUCGAACGGUAACAUAAAGAAGCUUGCUUCUUUGAUGACGAGUGGCGGACGGGUGAGUAAUGCUUGGGAAUCUAGCUUAUGGAGGGGAUAACUACGGGAAACUGUAGCUAAUACCGCGUAAUAUCGAAAGAUUAAAGUGUGGGACCUUCGGGCCACAUGCCAUAGGAUGAGCCCAAGUGGGAUUAGGUAGUUGGUGAGGUAAAGGCUCACCAAGCCGACGAUCUCUAGCUGGUCUGAGAGGAUGACCAGCCACACUGGGACUGAGACACGGCCCAGACUCCUACGGGAGGCAGCAGUGGGGAAUAUUGCGCAAUGGGGGCAACCCUGACGCAGCCAUGCCGCGUGAAUGAAGAAGGCCUUCGGGUUGUAAAGUUCUUUUUCGGUAGCGAGGAAGGCAUUUAGUUUAAUAGACUAGGUGAUUGACGUUAACUACAGAAGAAGCACCGGCUAACUCCGUGCCAGCAGCC